rnacentral:piRNA from 1 species
UGCGUGCAUAGUACUACUCAGGACGG